GACGAACGCUGGUGGCGUGCUUAACACAUGCAAGUCGAGCGGUAAGGCCCUUUCGGGGGUACGACGAGCGGCGAACGGGUGAGUAACACGUGGGUGACCUGCCCUUACGCUCUGGGAUAAGCCUGGGAAACUGGGUCUAAUACCGGAUAUGACUCCAUGACGCAUGUUGUGGGGUGGAAAGCCUUGUGCGGCUAGGGAUGGGCCUGCGGCCUAUCAGCCUGUUGGUGGGGUGAUGGCCUACCAAGGCGACGACGGGUAGCCGGCCUGAGAGGGCGACCGGCCACACUGGGACUGAGACACGGCCCAGACUCCUACGGGAGGCAGCAGUGGGGAAUCUUGCGCAAUGGGCGAAAGCCUGACGCAGCGACGCCGCGUGGGGA
rnacentral:rRNA from 1 species